rnacentral:misc_RNA from 1 species
UUUCCGUAGGUGAACCUGCGGAAGGAUCAUUAUUGUAUAACCGAUGAGCGAUGGCUGUCGUUGACCCGAGAGUUCGUGCACGCCCGAGUGCACUCACACUCAUCCAUCUCACCCCUAUUUGCACCACCGCGUGAGUCCCCGUUUAGCUUUUUCGGAGGAGGUAUUACUUUUUCACACGAACUUUUUAUGCAGUGUAGAAUGUAUUUUUUGUUUUUGCGAGCACGCAAUCAAUACAACUUUCAACAACGGAUCUCUUGGCCCUAGCACCGAUGAAGAACG